GACAGAGGGUGCGAACGUUGUUCGGAAUUACUGGGCGUAAAGCGCACGUAGGCGGCUUUGUAAGUUAGAGGUGAAAGCCCAGGGCUUAACCCUGGAAUUGCCUUUAAGACUGCAUCGCUAGAAUCGUGGAGAGGUAAGUGGAAUUCCGAGUGUAGAGGUGAAAUUCGUAGAUAUUCGGAAGAACACCAGUGGCGAAGGCGACUUACUGGACACGUAUUGACGCUGAGGUGCGAAAGCGUGGGGAGCAAACAGG
rnacentral:rRNA from 1 species